UUUUAGUUGGGAAUAGCUGUUGAAUGAUCAUAUGUCUGUGGAAGAAAAGAAUAAAUGGACUCUGGAGACAGAAAUGUUCAAUGCACAGUGCCAUAUGCCUGCAGUCAUUUACAAAUGCACCUAUUCUCACACUUGGCUGCAUGUUGAAAUCACCUGAGGGAGUUUCAGAACAACACUGAUACCUGGAUCCUAUCCCUAGAGACCAUGAUUUAAUUGAUAUGGGGUACAUCACAAGCAUUGGAGGUUUUCAAAGCUCUUGGGUAUUCUAAUAUGGCAGAGAGUUGGUGAACUGCUGAUUUAGGCCAUCCAAACAUCACUGGCAUACAUUUGAUGCAGGUUUCACUGAUUCUAGUCACAAGUAGCUUCUGCUGCUUUAACUCUAGAGACACUACAGUUCCUCUUGCAUUCUCCCACUUUGGUUCAAUAGGAAAAUCUCUGCCGCUUAGUGAUUUUCCAAGAAACAUGAGCUUCUGCCUUUCAAUGAGGAAGAUACUCAGAAGUCAUGUUCGAGCACUCCGGAAAAUGUCCUUGGAGUUUCAACAUUUCUUUGGUCUUCCACAUUUCAUUUUGUCCUGAUUAAAGAGGAAGCCAGUUGCUGUUUGUGUGGCCAUGUGAGCAGGCAGGGAGAUGGUGGCUGCCUAGAAGCCAAGAGAAGUGGCCUCAAGAUGAAAUCUACCUUGCUGGUACUUUGAUCUUGGACUUGCAGCCUCCAGAACUGUGAGGCUUGUCCAUUUUAAUGAGAAGCUUAUGUGGCAUGGAACUGAGUUCACCCCCAACCAGCAGCUGGUGAGGAAUGGAGCUCUUCGUUCAAUGACUCAUAAUGAGCUUUGAGACAACCAAAGCCCCCUAGCUAACCUGUGCCUGGAUUCCUGGCCCACAAAGACAGUGAGAGAGGGACCCAACUCAGCCCAUGAAGCCACUGAAAUACAGGAAAGAGCAUCUUCAUUGAAGCCACUGGAGCAUGGGAAAGAGCACCACCAGCUCCCUGCUCGCUAGCUGUGAACCUCAGGAUGGAAUAGAAGAUGGAUAAAAAGCUUCUACUGCAGCCUGGGCCCAGUUCACUUUCUCUCUUGGCUCCAAUCCUGGUGGACACAGUAGGGGCUCCUCAAAAGCUCCACCCAUCACCUCCUUGAAUCACUGCAUCAUCUACUUCACACUGGGGCACAGACAAUUGGAUGGCUUCUUUGAUCUCUGUCUAGCACUUGAUCGUUAUCAUAUAAAAGUCCCCCUACCCUUGCAUUCUCUUGGUGAAACUCCAGAACAUCUUCUGGCUUGGAGCUACCUGAUUCAUAAAUUGCUGUUUGCUCAAAGAAACUCUUGAAAAUUUUA
rnacentral:lncRNA from 1 species